CCCUUAGAUGUUCUGGGCAGCACGCGCGCUACAAUGGUCUUCGCAAACGGAUGCAUUCUCGAAGGAGAAUGCCAAUCUUGGAGUCUAUGCCUUGGUCGGGACAGUUGCUUGCAAUUUUUCGACUCGAACCAGGAAUUCCUUGUAAUCGUGAUUCAUCACAUCACGAUGAAUACGUCCCUGCCCUUUGUACACACCGCCCGUCGCUCCUACCGAUCGAAGAGUUAGGUGAAUUGUUUUGAUCGAUAAGAUUUGACUAUGGUCAACUCUCGUUGUGAAAUUCUGUGAAUCUGACUGUUUAGAGGAAGGAAAAGUCGUAACA
rnacentral:rRNA from 1 species